rnacentral:rRNA from 2 species
AGAGUUUGAUCCUGGCUCAGAACGUACGCUGGCGGCACGCCUAACACAUGCAAGUCGAACGAAGUAGCAAUACUUAGUGGCAGACGGGUGAGUAACAUGUAGGUAUCUGCCCUUUGGCCUGGAAUAACACGAGGAAACUUGUGCUAAUACCGGAUAAGUCUUUACGGAGAAAGCUUUAUGCACCAUUGGAUGAGCCUGCACUUGAUUAGUUUGUUGGUAGGGUAAUGGCCUACCAAGACUGUGAUCAAUAGCUGAUUUGAGAGGAUGAUCAGCCACAUUGGGACUGAGACACGGCCCAAACUCCUACGGGAGGCAGCAGUGGGGAAUCUUGCACAAUGGAGGAAACUCUGAUGCAGCGAUGCCGCGUGAGUGAAGAAGGCCCUUGGGUUGUAAAGCUCUUUCGUCGGGGAAGAAAAUGACUGUACCCGAAUAAGAAGGUCCGGCUAACUUCGUGCCAGCAGCCGCGGUAAUACGAAGGGACCUAGCGUAGUUCGGAAUUACUGGGCUUAAAGAGUUCGUAGGUGGUUGAAAAAGUUAGUGGUGAAAUCCCAGAGCUUAACUCUGGAACUGCCAUUAAAACUUUUCAGCUAGAGUAUGAUAGAGGAAAGCAGAAUUUCUAGUGUAGAGGUGAAAUUCGUAGAUAUUAGAAAGAAUACCAAUUGCGAAGGCAGCUUUCUGGAUCAUUACUGACACUGAGGAACGAAAGCAUGGGUAGCGAAGAGGAUUAGAUACCCUCGUAGUCCAUGCCGUAAACGAUGUGUGUUAGACGUUGGAAAUUUAUUUUCAGUGUCGCAGGGAAACCGAUAAACACACCGCCUGGGGAGUACGACCGCAAGGUUAAAACUCAAAUGAAUUGACGGGGACCCGCACAAGUAGUGGAGCAUGUGGUUUAAUUCGAAGAUACGCGCAGAACCUUACCAACACUUGACAUGUUCGUCGCGACUCUAAGAGAUUAGAGUUUUCGGUUCGGCCGGACGAAACACAGGUGCUGCAUGGCUGUCGUCAGCUCGUGUCGUGAGAUGUUGGGUUAAGUCCCGCAACGAGCGCAACCCUCACUUUUAGUUGCCAUCAUUAAGUUGGGCACUCUGAAAGAACUGCCAGUGAUAAGCUGGAGGAAGGUGGGGAUGACGUCAAGUCCUCAUGGCCCUUACGUGUUGGGCUACACACGUGCUACAAUGGUAUCUACAACAGGAAGCAAGACUGCGAAGUUAAGCAAAUCCCUAAAAGAUACCUCAGUUCGGAUUGCACUCUGCAACUCGAGUGCAUGAAGCUGGAAUUACUAGUAAUCGUGGAUCAGCGUGCCACGGUGAAUGCGUUCCCGGGUCUUGUACACACCGCCCGUCACACCAUGGGAGUUGGUUCUACCUUAAGGCAAGGUUUCAAACCCUUGACCACGGUAUAGUCAGCGACUGGGGUGAAGUCGUAACAAGGUAACC